CCUACGGGUGCAGCAGUGAGGAAUAUUGGUCAACGGGCGGGAGCCUGAACCAGCCAAGCCGCGUGAGGGAAGAAGGUACAGCGUAUCGUAAACCUCUUUUGUCAGGGAACAAAGGCGGGGACUAGUCCCCGGCUGACGGUACCUGAAGAAAAAGCAUCGGCUAAGUCCGUGCAAGCAGCGGCGGUAGUACGGGGGAUGCCAGCGUUAUCCGGAUUUAUUGGGUUAAAGGGGUGCGCAGGCGGCCUGUUAAGCCUGCGGUAAAAGCCCGGGGGUCAACCCCGGAGAGCCGUUGAAACUGGCGGGCUGGAGUUGGAGAGAAGUACGCGGAAUGCGCGGUGUAGCGGUGAAAUGCUUAGAUAUCGCGCAGAACCCCGAUUGCGAAGGCAGCGUACCGGGUCCAAACUGACGCUGAGGCACGAAAGCGUGGGUAUCGAACAGGAUUAGAUACCCCGGUAGUC
rnacentral:rRNA from 1 species